rnacentral:lncRNA from 1 species
ACAUCUCCACUGCUGCUGCCAUAGUCCUGCAGCAAACAGCAUGGGCCUUUGCUGAAGGGAAAUUCAACAAAGGGGAUGCUGUCAUUAUGUUUAGCUGCACUUACGGUGCGGUGAAGAACUCAAUCGAGGCCUACUUUUCACGUGCUGGUGGGUCCGUUAUCGAAGUUCCAUUUAACUUUCCAUUGAAUUCCAAUGAAGAAAUCAUAAGUGAAUUUAGGAAAGCAUUGGAGAGAGAAAAGGGUAAUGGUAGGAGAGUGAGAUUGGCUGUGAUUGAUCAUGUUACAUGUGUGCCAACUGUUGUAAUGCCAGUUAAGCAAUUGGUUAAAAUCUGUAGGGAUGAAGGUGUUGAACAAGUGUUCAUAGAUGCAGCUCAUGCUGUUGGGAGCGUAGAUGUUGAUAUGCAAGAAAUUGGGGCAGAUUUUUAUGCUAGUACUUUGUAUAAGUGGUUCUUCUGCCCGCCUGUUGUUUCAUUUCUGUAUUGUAGGAAAUCAGCUACACAUUCAGAUUUGGAAUUGCAUCACCCUAUUGUGUCUCAUAGGUAUGGUAAGGGGUUGGCUGAAGAAAGUUUUUGGGUUGGGACAAGGGAUUAUAGUCCAUAUCUGGUGCUUCCUUCAGUUAUGGAGUUCGUUAACAGGUUCGAAGGCGGUCUUAAGGGAAUCAUAAAAAGGAAUCAUGAUGCUGUUGUUGAGAUGGGGAAGAUGUUGGCAGAAGCUUGGGGAACCAAUCUAGGGUGUCCUCCUGAUAUGUGCGCUAGCAUGAUCAUGGUAGGGUUACCGGCUUGUUUGGGGAUUUCAAGUGAUGAUGAUGCUACGAAGUUAAGGCCACAUUUAUGUGAUAAAUUUGGUGUUGAAGUCAGAAUACAUUAUCAAGCUCCCAAAGAUGGAGAGGUUGGAUCAACGACGGGGUAUGUUCGAAUUUGUCAUCAGAUUUACAACAAAGUUGAUGACUAUUACAAGCUCAGAGAUGCAGUUAAUCAACUAGUUCGUGAUGGAUUCACUUGCGCUCUUGAGGUAUGUAUAUGCUCUGCCUUCAUCCAGUUUAUUGGUUUGUAAGCUAGACAUACUAUACACUGCAACUUGCUAAAUUUGGUUUGCUUACUUGUUAUUGACAUGGGAUUUUACGUUAAUCUGUAGAUCAAUGAGGCCUGAACUCCGUUCGAUGAAAAAAAGAAGCUAUAUGGUCCUAUAUCCUGCAUGCUUUGCUAGUUGUGCAAUGGAUUUUGUACCAUUAACUUCUGAAGUGCUCCUGAGCAAACAAGUAUAUAUAUAGAGAAGUUCAUGAAUUUUCAGUUUGAUAUGCAGAAAAGUUCAUGUAUGAAUACAUUAACAAUUAUCUGUCGGUUUGGUUGUGAUUCGCAGAGAUUAGGACUCGAUUUGAACACAGCACCUCAUGCAAUCAGUUUGACAAUAAGUGAAACACAAUGUGUGCUUGAACAACAAGACUUACCUGAAAGCACUUGCACUCCUUUGCAGUUUUAUAAUAAGCAAUUGUAACUGAUGCAUUCCUUAAAAGCCCUUCAAUUAUUUACUCUUCAUCUUUCUAAUAUAAUGUGUUAAACUGUCUCUUUGAGCUCAGUGAUUUAAUCCCAGAACUUUUAAGUUACCGUGCCCACUUGAACUAUAUGAGUGUUACUACAAAUGGUAUCAGUUCAGCCAUAAGCUGCAUUUGUUAAUAAGCUGAUAUAUUUACUAAAGUGAUGUUUUUCUUGCCACAAAGGCAAACCUAAAUCCAUGGUUCUCUAGCGUUCCAUUUUCCAUGCAUAAUUUCCAGCACAUCACAUGUAGAUAGCCAGAUUCAAAAGCAUGAAAAUAUGGAAGUUGACUUUAGAUUAAUACACCAAACUUUAUAAGAUUGUCUUUUGGUGACCCAAAUCUUAAAAUCAACGUCAUAAUCCUUUAUUUUUCUCCCUAAUCAAUUUAAACCUCCCUAAUGUCAUAUAUAAAACAAGUGAUUUUGGUCGUAGCUCUCUUGUCUUUUGUAGUCAAGACAAGCAUUGAGACAUAUCAAGAGUCCGCAAGAAUAUUACAAAUUAAUAAGUUGAACAAUGACUAUGAAUGAGAGAUCAUUAACGCCCAAUUUCAACAAACGCUUAAGGUACUUAAAAUCAUCAUGUUCAAUUAAUUCUUGCCUCGACAAUACAAUCGGCGCUGAUCCUCAUUAAUUUGCUAAUGUCUUUGUUGUGUAUGGUUCUGGUUUGAGUGAGCAGGUCAUGGCUAAAAAGAUUAUUAUGUUUUGCCGCCACUAUGUUCCACCUAUUCUUCUCCUUCCUUAUCAAACCUUCCAAUUCCUCUACCCCAAGCUUUCAUUUCAAGUCUCAAGGGCCUCUAACCACCAUUUCCACAACCUCAAAGCUGAUGAAAUCCAAACCCAUGUUCCCAUUGAGACAAAACUCUCUUCUUCCUUCAUCACAGACUCCGAAAUCCAAUCUGAAUUUGCUCACCAUGCUCCUGGUGUUGCCAGGAUGAACAAUGGCAGCUUUGGUUGCUGCCCUGCUUCUAUCAUCUCUGACUUACAUCAAUGGCAGCUCAAAUUGCUCCGCCAGCCGGACCAUUUCUACCUGAAUGAGCUCCAGAACAGGAUACUCGAAUCAAGAACCGUAGUUAAAGACCUUAUCAAUGCAGAAGAUGUGGAUGAAGUCUCCAUUGUAGACAAUGUCUCCACUGCUGUAGCCAUAGUCCUGCAGCAGACGGCAUGGGCCUUUGCUGAAAGGAAAUUCAACCAAGGGGAUGCUCUCAUUAUGUUUCACUGUGCUUAUGGAGCGGUGAAGAACUCAAUCAAGGCCUACUUUCUGCGUGCUGGUGGGUACGUUAUCGAAGUUCCAUUUAAAUUUCCGCUGAAUUCCAAUGAAGAAAUCAUAAGUGAAUUUAGGAAAGCAUUGGAGAGAGAAAAGGGUAAUGGUAGGAGAGUGAGAUUAGCUGUGAUUGAUCAUGU